rnacentral:rRNA from 1 species
UACAGAGGUCCCAAGCGUUGUUCGGAUUCAUUGGGCGUAAAGGGUCCGUAGGCGGUGUAGCAAGUCGAUAGUGAAAUCGUCUGGGCCUUAACCCAGAGGCUGCUAACGAAACUGCUGUGCUAGAGUGUGAGAGAGGCGAGUGGAAUUACGGGUGUAGCGGUGAAAUGCGUAGAUAUCCGUAGGAACAUCCGAGGCGAAGGCGGCUCGCUGGAUCACAACUGACGCUGAGGGACGAAAGCUAGGGGAGCAAACAGG